UACGUAGGGGGCAAGCGUUGUCCGGAUUUAUUGGGCGUAAAGAGCGUGUAGGCGGUUCGGUAGGUCCGUUGUGAAAACUCGAGGCUCAACCUCGAGACGCCGAUGGAAACCCUCGAACUAGAGUCCGGAAGAGGAGAGUGGAAUUCCCGGUGUAGCGGUGAAAUGCGCAGAUAUCGGGAAGAACACCCGUGGCUAAGGCGGCUCUCUGGGACGGUACUGACGCUGAGACGCGAAAGCGUGGGGAGCGAACAGG
rnacentral:rRNA from 1 species